AAUUUUGGACAAGGGGGGAAACCCUGAUCCAGCCAUCCCUCGUGCGCGAUGAAUGCCUUCGGGUUGUAAGUCACUCUCUGCAGGGAAGAAAAGGCGAAGGCCAAUAACCAGCGGCGCUGACGUCAGCUGCAUAAUAAGCACCGGCUAACUACGUGCCGACAGCCGCGGUAAUACGUAGGGUGCAAGCGUUAAUCGGAAUUACUGGGCGUAAAGCGUGCGCAGGCGGUUUGGCAAGAAGGAUGUGAAAUCCCAGGGCUUAACCUUGGAACUGCAUUCUUAACUGCCAGGCUAGAGUAUGUCAGAGGGGAGUAGAAUUCCACGUGUAGCAGUGAAAUGCGUAGAGAUGUGGAGGAAUACCGAUGGCGAAGGCAGCCUCCUGGGAUAAUACUGACGCUCAUGCACGAAAGCGUGGGGAGCAAACA
rnacentral:rRNA from 1 species